AUCUUUGGGUGUCGUGGAUUCAAACGACCCUUCGAUGGAUCCAUGCGCUUCGAUGUUUCCUUUCACUCGCGAGAAGACGCAUUUGAGUCGACGGAACCAGGGGUAGUAGCCUGGCACCAAGAGCCGCUCAACGCCAAUCGCUGCAGCGCGCUCCUUGCCCGCUUGAGAGUGACGGAAAGUGGCACGGUCUACGUGCAGGUCAGAAGAAUGUGGAAAUCAGAAGCCACGAAGUGCUUCUACGAAGCACGAUGUAUAUUUACAUUUAGUUCGUAUUGCAAAUCGUAGGCGAACGCACUACUGAAUGGCCUGCAGGGCAAUUGCAGUCGUUUUGGUCCCUUGUCUCUUCUUUAGGAACAGUAGUGUUUUUGUGUUCGAGUGCCAAUAUACAGGGAUACAGUUUGAUGGGAACGAAAUUUGAUCAAGAGACAAAAACACAAGUCUGUGUCGCAACAAGUUUUGGAUAUCAGUACGAGAUUGGACGUGUUCUGUUGAACGAGUGACGAUCUCUCGAAGAAACGUGCUUGUUUCUUUGUUCAUCCGGGUCUAUCGCCGUCAUUAUCAGCUGUUCGGAACCUCUUCGAUGUAUCGCUUCCUCACCAGUAUUUCUCACAAUAUGUAUGGAUUGGAAAGGGUUUAAGUGAAGGAAUCCGUGUACACAGAGGCGAACUAGUCCUGUUUUUGCGAAACGCGCGCAAUGCGCAAAGAGAAAGGACGACUCACCCCACGAAAACGUAUGCCACUCACGUCAACUCAGCACAACGCGAAGACUCAGACAUUGGGGUCUUUUGUUCAGUGAUAUGUGUGCGGUCUCCUCUGCGUCAUCCGGACGGUUUAUUAUCAACACCUGGAAGGCAUUGAGCGAUUGAACGAACCGCAGUGCGCAGACAACUGGAGCAUGUGUGGCCUCAAGAUGCACUGUCGGAUUCUGAUGUCGCUUCGUUGCGUCGCCAGACUACGGCGACUCCCAUGCAGAAAUGCAUCUGGAUUCAGGUGACUCACCCGCAGAGCGUGUACUAGAUAAAUACAGAAGGUUCGCAAAUGAUCCUAGGGUGAGGAGGUACCUGAAGCUACUGCAGUGAGGCUGCGUAGAACGGGACCCAGUGCGAAUGACUUUCGGAAGGAGGAGCGACAGCGAGCUUGAUUCCAGCAGCACUUUCGUGGGCUUUACCAAAACUUUCUUAAUCUCCCGUAGAUUCUACAUACAAGCCGAACCAUGCCUGGCAUUCCAGAGCUGGGAUAUCAGCACAUUGCGUUCCGUAAUCGUUGGUGGCAACCUGGAUCUCGCCGAUUCGCGCAGGCGCAUUUCAUUGGAACAAGGUUAAUAUCCGUCGAAAGAACGACGUGACCAGCAAGCAUCAGUGGCGCGCGAAUCCGUAUCUCGGGGCGAAUGCGACGUACAUAUAAACGACUAGCCAGGACAUUGACAUCCGUGAGUUUCGGGGAUUCCGCGUGCGCUCUCCACGCUGCCGUGCUCUAACCCAAUUCAAAGCCAAUCCAAAGUUCUCGUGAACACUGCCAAAGCAGUCCAUUGGAGUAAUCGUAUCAAGUUCCGCGAGAGGUAAGGCAUGUGCCGCGGGUAGCGCGUGUGUCAGUUAGCGCUUGUGGCGGUGCUUCGAAAGCUCAAGUAUCCGCUUGCACGGACUAGACUGAAAGGGCACUCAAGACCGCUGUA